CCCUCCUACAAAGAUGGGUUGGUGGUUCCCUGUCUUUGGACACCUAAUAACUGGAGGCCAAGAAAAACUGACUUGGAGAAAACUGCCAGCUUGCUCCCUGUAGGCUGAAGAGCAAAUAUCACACAUGG